rnacentral:rRNA from 1 species
UACGGAGGAUCCAAGCGUUAUCCGGAUUUAUUGGGUUUAAAGGGUGCGUAGGCGGAAUGGUAAGUCAGCGGUGAAAUCCUUCAGCUUAACUGAAGAACUGCCGUUGAUACUGCCAAUCUUGAGUACGGUUGAAGUGGGCGGAAUGUAGCAUGUAGCGGUGAAAUGCUUAGAUAUGCUACAGAACACCGAUUGCGAAGGCAGCUCACUAAGCCGCAACUGACGCUGAGGCACGAAAGCGUGGGGAGCAAACAGG